GUGGUGGCCAUAGGUAGAUCACGAGCGUGUUCGGAGAGCUGUCAAAGCUUUCACUUCCUCUGUCAAAUCCCGAUUAAAAAAGAGAUGGAGAGCGGAGAGAAGAAAAGAAAAGGAGAGAGAGAAAGGCAGUGGAGAGGUCGUUAGAGAGCCUCUGACUGGCUAUCAUGACCGUCGGAUGGCGCAAUUGUGUCCGAUGAUG
rnacentral:lncRNA from 1 species